GGUUAAGUUAGAAAGGGCGCACGGUGGAUGCCUUGGCACUAGGAGCCGAAGAAGGACGGGACUAACACCGAUAUGCUUUGGGGAGCUGUACGUAAGCGUUGAUCCAGAGAUUUCCGAAUGGGGGAACCCACUAUCUUUAGUCGGAUAGUAUCCUUACGUGAAUACAUAGCGUGAGGAAGGCAGACCCAGGGAACUGAAACAUCUAAGUACCUGGAGGAAGAGAAAGAAAAAUCGAUUUCCUGAGUAGCGGCGAGCGAAACGGAAAGAGCCCAAACCAAGAAGCUUGCUUCUUGGGGUUGUAGGACACUCUAUACGGAGUUACAAAAGAAAGUUAUAAAUGAAGCGGUCUGGAAAGGCCCGCCAAAGACGGUAACAGCCCGGUAGUUGAAAUGGCUUUCCCUCCAGAGUGGAUCCUGAGUACGGCGGAACACGUGAAAUUCCGUCGGAAUCCGGGAGGACCAUCUCCCAAGGCUAAAUACUCCCUAGUGACCGAUAGUGAACCAGUACCGUGAGGGAAAGGUGAAAAGCACCCCGGAAGGGGAGUGAAACAGUUCCUGAAACCGUGUGCCUACAAGUAGUUAGAGCCCGUUAAUGGGUGAUAGCGUGCCUUUUGUAGAAUGAACCGGCGAGUUACGAUUUGUUGCAAGGUUAAGCGGAAAAAGCGGAGCCGUAGCGAAAGCGAGUCUGAAUAGGGCGCAUAAGUAACAGGUCGUAGACCCGAAACCAGGUGAUCUACCCAUGUCCAGGAUGAAGGUAAGGUAAUACUUACUGGAGGUCCGAACCCACGCACGUUGAAAAGUGCGGGGAUGAGGUGUGGGUAGCGGAGAAAUUCCAAUCGAACUUGGAGAUAGCUGGUUCUCUCCGAAAUAGCUUUAGGGCUAGCCUCGAGGUAAAGAGUCAUGGAGGUAGAGCACUGUUUGGACUAGGGGCCCUUCUCGGGUUACCGAAUUCAGAUAAACUCCGAAUGCCAUGUACUUAUACUCGGGAGUCAGACUGCGAGUGAUAAGAUCCGUAGUCGAAAGGGAAACAGCCCAGACCACCAGUUAAGGUCCCCAAAUAUAUGUUAAGUGGAAAAGGAUGUGGGGUUGCUUAGACAACCAGGAUGUUGGCUUAGAAGCAGCCACCAUUGAAAGAGUGCGUAAUAGCUCACUGGUCGAGUGACCCCGCGCCGAAAAUGUACCGGGGCUAAACAUAUUACCGAAACUGUGGAUGAACCUCUUUAGAGGUUCGUGGUAGGAGAGCGUUCUAAGGGCGGUGAAGUCAGACCGGAAGGACUGGUGGAGCGCUUAGAAGUGAGAAUGCCGGUAUGAGUAGCGAAAGAAGGGUGAGAAUCCCUUCCACCGAAUAUCUAAGGUUUCCUGAGGAAGGCUCGUCCGCUCAGGGUUAGUCGGGACCUAAGCCGAGGCCGAUAGGCGUAGGCGAUGGACAACAGGUAGAGAUUCCUGUACCAGUGCUAAUUGUUUAACCGAUGGGGUGACACAGAAGGAUAGGGAAUCGCACGAAUGGAAAUGUGCGUCCAAGCAGUGAGUGUGAGAAGUAGGCAAAUCCGCUUCUCGCGAAGCAUGAGCUGUGAUGGGGAAGGAAAUUAAGUACGGAAGUUCCUGAUUUCACGCUGUCAAGAAAAGCCUCUAGGAANNNNNNNNNNNNNNNNNNNNNNNNNNNNNNNNNNNNNNNNNNNNNNNNNNNNNNNNNNNNNNNNNNNNNNNNNNNNNNNNNNNNNNNNNNNNNNNNCACGAAGCAUGAGCUGUGAUGGGGAAGGAAAUUAAGUACGGAAGUUCCUGAUUUCACGCUGUCAAGAAAAGCCUCUAGGAAGAGUAGUACUGCCCGUACCGCAAACCGACACAGGUAGAUGAGGAGAGAAUCCUAAGGUGAGCGAGAGAACUCUCGUUAAGGAACUCGGCAAAAUGACCCCGUAACUUCGGGAGAAGGGGUGCUCUAUUAGGGUGCAAGCCCGAGAGAGCCGCAGUGAAUAGGCCCAGGCGACUGUUUAGCAAAAACACAGGUCUCUGCAAAACCGUAAGGUGACGUAUAGGGGCUGACGCCUGCCCGGUGCUGGAAGGUUAAGAGGAGUGCUUAGCUUCGGCGAAGGUACGAAUUGAAGCCCCAGUAAACGGCGGCCGUAACUAUAACGGUCCUAAGGUAGCGAAAUUCCUUGUCGGGUAAGUUCCGACCCGCACGAAAGGCGCAACGAUCUGGGCACUGUCUCAACGAGAGACUCGGUGAAAUUAUAGUACCUGUGAAGAUGCAGGUUACCCGCGACAGGACGGAAAGACCCCGUGGAGCUUUACUGCAACCUGAUAUGGAAUGUUUGUACCGCUUGUACAGGAUAGGUAGGAGCCGAAGAGACGUGUGCGCUAGCAUACGAGGAGGCAAUGGUGGGAUACUACCCUGGCUGUAUGACCAUUCUAACCCGCCACGCUUAGCGCGUGGGGAGACAGUGUCAGGUGGGCAGUUUGACUGGGGCGGUCGCCUCCUAAAGAGUAACGGAGGCGCCCAAAGGUUCCCUCAGAAUGGAUGGAAAUCAUUCGCAGAGUGUAAAGGCACAAGGGAGCUUGACUGCGAGACUGACAAGUCGAGCAGGGACGAAAGUCGGGCUUAGUGAUCCGGUGGUUCCGCAUGGAAGGGCCAUCGCUCAACGGAUAAAAGCUACCCCGGGGAUAACAGGCUUAUCUCCCCCAAGAGUCCACAUCGACGGGGAGGUUUGGCACCUCGAUGUCGGCUCGUCGCAUCCUGGGGCUGUAGUCGGUCCCAAGGGUUGGGCUGUUCGCCCAUUAAAGCGGCACGCGAGCUGGGUUCAGAACGUCGUGAGACAGUUCGGUCCCUAUCCGUCGCGGGCGCAGGAAAUUUGAGAGGAGCUGUCCUUAGUACGAGAGGACCGGGAUGGACACACCGCUGGUGUACCAGUUGUUCCGCCAGGAGCAUCGCUGGGUAGCUAUGUGUGGCAGGGAUAAACGCUGAAAGCAUCUAAGCGUGAAGCCCCCCUCAAGAUGAGAUUUCCCAUUUCUUCGGAAAGUAAGAUCCCUGAAAGAUGAUCAGGUAGAUAGGUUUGGAGUGGAAGUGUAGCGAUACAUGGAGCGGACAAAUACUAAUCGAUCGAGGACUUAACCAA
rnacentral:rRNA from 1 species